GUAAAUUCAACUUAUCCGGGCUAACAGUGCAUGAUAAAUAAAAAUAUAAAAUAAAAAUUGAUAAAAGUUAUGAAUAAUGUAUAAUAAAAUGAAUAUAUGAUAUGAAAUCUGAAAAUGAGUAGUUGAAUCUAAAGUAAGUAAAUCCCCUCAUGAACAGUUCCUAAUGUGUUUCUACAUAAGUUUCGCUUUCCCCAUGAUGAGUUUCUGUUCAUCAAAACAGAAACGCAUGUAAAACCUGUGGGACAACUAAUGUUUGUUACUUACUAUAGAGUAGUUCCUGUCACUAUUCAGUGACAUCAGCAAAUAUGCAGUGUUUUCAUGUCAUAUAAAUGAGGCAGUCAGUGCCAAAGAUCUAAGUAAGGUAUUUCACUACAAGGUAAGACGUAUCAUUUUUUAAAUGUGUUUUUAUAUACUUUAAAUACUGUACAUAUUUUUUAUUGAUUUUGAAUUGUUUAUGUUUUUACAGAUAUAGAUCGGUGCACUACAGAUUAACCCUUCAUCUCACUGCAAUAAUUUUGGAGGAUCAGUUUUUCUCAGUGUUUUAACUGUCAGGAACAUGACGAGAACUCUGAAUGAAUUAUCUGAUCUGAGAAAGACCAGGUAUGGUUGGCCACCUCCCAGACAUGGUCUGAUCUUGCUGUGGUGGUUUGCUCAUGAAUGUGUUCAGAUUGACUAUGAUCGUAUGAUUGCCCGCUGCAACCCUGCAAAUGGAGCUUUUGGCUUCCACCGAUUCUAUAAUUGGGACAAGCUUCUUCCUCGCACUAACCUCCCAUACUAUGAGGUGGGAAACCUGAACACCACUGGCUCACUGCCGCUGUACGUCACUCAGUAUUACACAGGACAUUCAGACAACAGCAACAAAGAUCGCAUCAUUGUUUUAUUUAACUCAAGGUGGAACAGAUUUGAUUGCGUUUAUGUGACACAGCACUCAGAUCUUGUGAAGUUUGACCAGAAUCACACUUACUGCAUUAGCAUCAAACUUAUGAAGGAGAUUAAAAAUUUGAGCCGUGAGGAUUUCCUCAGAAAACCCAUCCUUCCAAAACGACCCAAUCCUCCUGAACAUUGUUCCAUAGACAUGACUAACAAUGUAAUGCCCAAUCCUCAACCAAGACUGUCACACACACCUCAGCCAGUGCAGAAUGAAAACAGCUGUCUGAGUAAAUGCUGCUGUGUGCUGAUUUGUGUCUUGAUUUUACUGUUUCUCAUUGUUGCUGCUAUUGUCUUUUUAUGGUUUAAACUGAAAUAGUUUUCAUCCACUGCUGUUUGUUAUUCUAGCUCAUUUUGAAGCUGCAUUUUGCUUCCUUUGGAUCAGUUGCUUAUUAAAUACGUUUACAUUUAUUAUUAUAUAAAAUGUACCAAAUGUAAGAAUCAAUCUUAAUAUUGAUAUUAAUCUGAAUAUUGCGUGACACACUCCAAUCAGUGUGUUCGGUGGUUACGCCCUGAUUUAGCCUAUAGUAAUUUCGUUUCAUAUUUGUUGUGCUUAUUUUUUGACAUAAAUACAAACAGAGAAUGUUAAAACUCCAAAAACCAUGACUUGUGUUUGUGUGAUUUAGUUUUUUAUUUUUAAUUUAACAAUGCAAAAAUGUCUAUUACUUUGCCACGAGUGCAAUCAAAAGUUCAGUGCAAUGGAUAUUUAAAAAAGCCGCAGUUCUCCUGUAACUAUUAUUCAUGUUAUGUUUCAUUUUAUGAUCACAAAUUUUGAGUUGUUUACUGGUUUUCUUUCUUUUCUUUAUUAAUUCUCUGAACUGUUGUUUCUUAUUGUUUGUGUAAAUGAAUCUUCUCUUUCAGUAGGCCUAUAUAAUAUCAGAUGCCACUGAAAACAGAUGCAAAUGAAUGUGAGGGAGACUGGUGCUGGUUGGGACAAUUUUUAUUCUUUGUUGGAACAAAUAACUCAACUAUGUGCAAUUAAAAGCAAGUUCUUAGGUAAAAUAAAAACAGAAAUUCAAUGUCACUAAAUAAAGUGAUGUUUAGCUGUCUGUCUGAGGGAAGCAACAAAUAAAAGAUUAAAAUGUACAUUUUAAACCAAA